rnacentral:lncRNA from 1 species
AAAUAAGAUUUCCACCAGUAGAGAAGUAGAGAAAAGAUAUUUCCAGAUCACACCUGCCCAACUUUCAACUGCCAGUGCCUACAUUUAUUUGUCUGAAAGUUUCCUCUGAAUGUUGAGGCCCAUUCAGCUCAUGCAAGAGGAAGAGAGGCUGGGAAUGUGAGGGAAUGAACCCUGCCUCCCAGAUGUUUUCAACAGUGUCAGAUAACAGGUGAUGGAUAAGUACACCAGCUCCCUGGCCCUUGGGUGGGACCGCUCCAAGGUGUGUGUUCUACACCGACUCCCAGAAUCUCCCCAGUGGUAUUUAAUUCUAGUCACCCAUAGUGGAAACCUGAUGAAUAAUUUACUGUCCAUUGACUGUUUUCUCUUUUGUCUCACUUCCCCCACUUCCUUACCAGUGAUUCCUGGGAUCUCCCCUCCUCCAUUUAUACUUCAAUCCUUGUCUCAGGGUCUGUUGAAAAUAAAAUGUCCCCUAAGCAUCUAAAUCCCUGUGCUAUUUUUAGGGAAUGUCACUGCCUAUGAAGAGCCCAUCUCCCAUGAUAGGAACUGAAAAUGUCAGAUACACUUGCAUCUCCAGCUGUCCUUGCAGCCAGGAUUAGGCACAUGACCCGUACUUUGCCAAUCAGGCAUACCCACCUCAGUCUCUAAACUGGAAGCUAAUGUCGUGAAGAGGUAGGAAAGCCCAGAAUUGAUUCUGUUGACAGAUGGUGGAAGAUACAACAAUCUGAAUGGUAGCUUCCAGAAUCCAGUGUUGGUGACAUGUGGUGCAACCGAAGACGUGGAGCAUGGCAGUAAUGGUGGCUUUGCCGGAACAGUUCUACUUUGAGAUUUUUGAGCACUGCUCCUUCCUUUGUGGUCUCCCAGCCUGCUUCUUUGAUCCUCUUAGAGAUUCUUUGAGCUCUCCAAUAUCUUUAUAUUUCUUUCCUGCCAAAAUGCUAAAGUUUGUUUCUAUAGUUUGUAACUAAGAAUGCUGUUUGUUUGUGCCCAUCAGGAUCCAGCCAGGAAAAUAGCCUCCUAGGUCUUUCAUACAGAUUGGAUU